rnacentral:tRNA from 1 species
UAUAAAGUAAGCUAAAUAAGCUAGUGGGCUCAUACCCCAAAUAUGAUACUUUCCUUUAUAA